rnacentral:ncRNA from 1 species
GCAAAGACGUAGAAGAGAAGAGUAGUAAGCGGAUGCUUUUACAGAGAGUUCCCGGAUGCUGAGAGGGAGCAGAGAUAGGCUUAUGAAGAUGGUCUCAGAGUUGCAUGGUCGAAUAUUUUAGAUCAUGACGGGGUGCGCCCGUUACAGCGAUAGAGUAUAAACCGUUCCCAGAUAAGCCGCGAAAGUGGCCUGUCGAUGUCCGGCCGUACUUGAAGAGGUCUGAUUGCGUGAGCGUCAGACGAAGUUAGGUGGUACCACGAAGCAGCAGCUUUCGUCCUAAUA